rnacentral:rRNA from 1 species
AUACGACUGCCGGCGACCGGCGCACGGGUGAGUAACACGUAUCCAACCUUCCGGUUACUCGGGAAUAGCCUUUCCAAAGAAAGAUUAAUGCCCGAUGGUAUAACAAGUCUGCAUGGAGUUGUUAUUAAAGAUUUAUCGGUAACCGAUGGGGAUGCGUUCCAUUAGGCAGUUGGCGGGGUAACGGCCCACCAAACCGACGAUGGAUAGGGGUUCUGAGAGGAAGGUCCCCCACAUUGGAACUGAGACACGGUCCAAACUCCUACGGGAGGCAGCAGUGAGGAAUAUUGGUCAAUGGGCGAGAGCCUGAACCAGCCAAGUAGCGUGAAGGAUGACUGCCCUAUGGGUUGUAAACUUCUUUUAUGCGGGAAUAACAAGCGGCACGUGUGCCGUUCUGCAUGUACCGUAUGAAUAAGCAUCGGCUAACUCCGUGCC